UACGUAGGGUGCAAGCGUUGUCCGGAAUUAUUGGGCGUAAAGAGCUCGUAGGCGGUCUGUCGCGUCUGCUGUGAAAACUCAGGGCUUAACCCUGAGCUUGCAGUGGGUACGGGCAGACUAGAGUGCGGUAGGGGGAGACUGGAAUUCCUGGUGUAGCGGUGAAAAUGCGCAGAUAUCAGGAGGAACACCGGUGGCGAAGGCGGGUCUCUGG
rnacentral:rRNA from 1 species